rnacentral:lncRNA from 1 species
AUUGAUUAUCUCUCCCAGACCAUUCACACCCACUUCUCUCUGGUAUUUGGUAAAAGUUAGGGUUUCUUAUUUGAUGUCUGUGGUGUUUGAAGAUCAUUCGUCUCAACUGCGAAGAUCUGAUUGGCUUGUUACUGAUCUCGCUUGUGAGAUAUGUGAUUUUGCUGUUAGUGUUGCCUGAAAGAUAUUGAUCCUGUGUAAAUCAGGUUGUAUAUUUUUUUGUUUUCUUUCUGUCUUUGUAUUCAUAGAUCAACUGAUUGGUAAUCAGUAGAUCUAAAUGGUUGUUCAUUAGAUCUUACUUCGUGUAAGGUCAAGGGUACUGGUUUGGGGUUUUUGGUUUGGGUUAAAUAAUAAAGAUUUUGUCACCGUUUUGUCGCU